CUUUUCUAGGCCUUACCCAGAUCUGUGAGAGAUUAACUGAGAGUCUGACACCUUUAAGAUCUGAAGAGAGAUUUGCCAUUUGUUCCCUCUGAGGGCUGCUGCCUGCUCACCUGCAGAUGAGGCUUCAUCCACAGAAAAACCUGAGAUCCCUCCAAGAUGGCCAAAUAGGAACAGCUCCAAUCUAUAGCUCCCAGAGUGAGCCACGCAGAAGACGGGUGAUUUCCGCAUUUCCAACUGAGGUACCAGGUUCAUCUCACUGGGACUUGUUGGACAGUGGAUGCAGCCCAUGGAGUGUGAGCCGAAGCAGGGCAGGGCAUUGCCUCACCCAGGAAGUGCAAGGGGUUGGAGAAUUCCAUUUCCUAGCCAAAGGAAGCCGUGACAGAUGGUACCUGGAAAAUCGGGACACUCCCACCCUAAUACUGUGCUUUUCCAAUGGUCUUAGAAAAUGGCACACCAGGAGAUUAUAUCCCACAGCUGGCUUGGCAGAUCUCAUGCCCACGGAGCCUUGCUCACUGCUACCACAGCAGUCCAAGAUCAAACUGCAAGGCAACAGUGAGGCUGCGGAAGGGGAAUCUGCCAUUGCUGAGGCUUGAGUAGGUAAACAAAGCGGCCAGGAAGCUCAAACUAGUUGAAGCCCACCGCAGCUCAAGGAGGCUUGCCUGCCUCUGUAGACUCCACCUCUCGGGGCAGGGCAUAGCUGAACAAAAGGCAGCAGAAACUUCUGCAGACUUAAACGUCCCUGUCUGACAGCUUUGAAGAGAGUAGUGUUUCUUCCAUUAUGGAGUUUGAGAUCUGAGAACACACAGACUGCCUCCUCAAGUGGGUCCCUGACCACCAAGUAGCCUAACUGGGAGAUACCUCCCAGUAUGGGCCAACUGCCACCUCAUACAGCCAGGUGCCCUUCUG
rnacentral:lncRNA from 10 species